UCCUCGUUAGUAUAGUGGCUAGUAUCCCCCCGCCUGUCACGCGGAGACCGGGGUUCAAAUUUCCCCGACGGGGAG